CUCCUUCUCUUGCUGAGUCAUGAUAGAUAGUGUGUGCUUUCAGAGACCAUGUGUCUUCCUAUCUCCCUGUUCUGAAAGGUCCUGCCUUCCUGUUUCUCCCAGGGCCACAGCGCCUGCCAUGUGUCUGGAUGCCCUUCCCCUGUCUCCAGCAUCACUGGGCUCUCCACAAUCAGAGGUCUAGCCAAGUGCCUCGGGGAGGACAGAGCCCGCUGGGGUGGCGGUCUCCCACUCUGCUGAGGGGUGCAGGGUUGCUUGCGGUGAGUUGGUGCUGGAAUGGCUCGUGGGGGGGGAGCCAGUGGGCAAAUUGCUAUUCAGGAAGAACAGACACCUUUAGCUACUAGUCCUUGACUGUCAGGGAUGGAGAUGCUGCUGCCUACAGUACCUAGUAGGCUUCGCUGGGUGGUUGUGAGGCUCCUGUUGAGCUCCUGUCAGGAAAGCUCUCAGCAGAUUUUGAAUCCUUUGCAGAGAUUUCCUUUCUUUCUUUGUUCCCCGCCUUUGCCCCUCCGGUAUACAGGAAAAAGUGCUUAUUAAUAUGUAAAUGUCAUGGUUGUUCUGAGUUGGGCCUUUUUAUUAUUUUAACUUCCCGGAUAAAUAUUGUAGAAAGAGGACUGGAUUUGGAAUCAGAGGACUUGGGACUGUGUUAGUGCGGGUAAAUCCCUUCAUUUCCCUGUUUCCUCUUGAAAAAAAAAUGAGAGCAUUAGAACAAAGGGACCUCUCAGAUCUCUUACAAUUCUUAGCCUUUGCUCCUAUAACUCCCCUGUGUUCUCAUAGGCACUAUGGGGGGAAGGCUUCUUUAAAGAGCUGGGAUUUUAGCUUAAAUGAGCUUCCUUCAUAUCCCAUCUUAUGGUAACUAACAUUUAUAUACAUAUGUAUAUGAAUAUACACAAUGCAUGUAUAUAUGUGCACCUAAAUAUAUUUAUACCUACACACAAAUAUGUGUGUAUAUACAAACAUACACAUAUUUACAUUUAUAUAUACACAGAAUAUAUAUGUAUCUACAUAUGUACACAUACAUAUAUAUUUAUAUACAUAUAAUACAGAUAUAUGUGUGCAUAUACAUACAUAUACACAUUUAUAUUUAUAUAUAUACAGAAUAUAUAUAAAUGUCUACAUAUAUUUAUACAUAUAAUAUAAUAUGCACAUUUACAUUUAUAUAUACACAGAAUAUAUGUAAAUAUGUCUACAUAUAUACACAUAUACAUAUAUAUUUAUAUACAUAUAACACAGAUAAAUAUGUAUAUACAUACAGAUACAUAUUUACAUUUAUAUGUAUGUAUACAGAAUAUAUAUAAAUGUCUACAUAUAUUUAUAUAUACACAGAAUAUAUGUAUAUAUGUGUCUACAUAUAUACACUUACAUAUAUAUUUAUAUACAUAUAAUACAAAUAUAUGUGUGUAUAUACAUAAAUUAUGUUUAUGCAUAUAGUCCAUCUAGCUCCAUGUAUUGAUUGCCAAUAUUUAAAUGUCUUCUCCUACAAGAAGCCUUUCUCACGCCCCUUAGUGUGGGUGCCUUGAUUAUCUCCUGCAUUUCCUGUUUGUACACAGUUGUUGGCCAGUUGUCUCCCUGACUACAUAAGACUCUUAGAUUCUGGAAAGCAGGUCUGUAGACCUAGCACUUACUACAGUGUUUGGCAUACAGUGGGCACUUAAUAAAUGCUUAUUGGCUGAACAACUGGCUUUUUGAAAAUCCCUUUACUCUAGACUUGCUUCCCAAAAAGUUUAUCACUUUGAUGUGCUGGUAAAACUUAGAUGAAGCUUAUUUUAGAUCCAUGAAGCAGCAGCAGAAGCAGCUGCCCUCACCAUGGCCCACAGAUCAGUUCCGUCCAGAGCUGAGAUAGGAAAUGAGACAUUUCAGUGGCUGGAGGGGAAACCACAUGGCUCUAGUUCUGCCUGUGGGGGGAACAGAGGGUUACUGAAGGUUAUUUGUACUCUGUGUGUAUGUUCACUCCCGUGCCUUCAUCUUGAAGGGAGAUGGGAGGUCAGGAGAAGGGAGGGAGUAUUGGGAAAGAGUGAGACAAAAUGGACCAAUUAUAGAGUUACUCCUAGUUGCCCUACCCCAGCACAUUUCCUUAAUUCUCUCCAUUCUCCAUCAUCUGAACUUGCUUCUUUUCAGGAGCUGAGACUCCUACAAAACUACUUCCACCUCCUGACAUCCCUCCCUGAUUUCCUUCGGAACUCAGCUCAGUACUACCUUCUUCCUCAAGGUUUCCUGGUCAACCAGCUUCCCUUUCUGAAGUUAGCUAGUUGGUGAUUUGCAUGUUUCUUGCAUCUAAGUUUGAAUAUGGUGCCUUCCCCAUUAGAAUAAAAACUCCUGAAAGGCAGGAACACUUUGUAUCUCCAUCACUUAAACACUUAGGAAUGCUUGCUUGGUUGAUUGAAUCUAAGCCCUUACUUGAAUGGGGUUGUGUUAGGUUCUGUCAGUAAUGAUUAAAGAAAUAACAAAGGGGUUGCAUUAGAUCAUGAGUUCUUAAACUGGCAUUCUUGAACUUGUUUUUAAAAAAUAUUUCAGUUCAAUUAUUCUGUAUAUUAUUUAUAUAUAUUACAUGGAUUUUACUUAUUCCUUUAAAUAAUUUAUUUUGAGGUCCAUAGCCUUAACCAGGUUACCAAAAAAGAUCAUGAACUCUCAAGUAUACAGUGAGAAAUCUGAAUAGGAGGGGGAAGGAGAAAGCAUGAAUUGGGUACCCAAGACAUCAAGGCCAUAGUAAAGAGAAAGGGGGACAGAUGGGGUGGGCUAAGCAAGGUCCCUCCCAGUGAGGGAACAGAAUCCAUAGGGAUAAAGUAGAAGGAAAGAUUUGGAGGAAGUCAGCUAGAGGAGAAUCAGGAGACCCUCCCCCCAUAUCUGUCUGCUGCCUUUUGUGUUCUAUAUUCAAUUGCUGCCCACUAAGGAAAAACAGAAAGAAAAUUUGAAGAAACUGAAUUUCAGAUAAAAAAAUUAGAGCCAUGACCCUAAUUUUAUAGAUGAAGAAACUAAGGAGGGGGAGGCAUUAGAACUACAUGAGCUUCUCUUGGUUCUUGUCUUUUAUUAAAAAUGACAACUUGUAAAUUUCUGUUUAUUUAGUGGGGACUGUGGGUGGCCAGGAAAGACCAAUAAAUUAGCUUUCGGUUGUGGUGAGAAGUAGGUGGGCAUUUGCCCGCCUGUCUCUUUGUCCCCUUCUUUGCCAUCCCCAUGUUCUGAUUCUUCCAUCUCCCUUCUAAGUGCUGUGUAUUGCAAUGGUUUGUUUACCAGCUGCUGGAUUUUCUUGACUUUCAGAGAGUCCCUCAGUCGCUUGUGAUCAGGUUAAUGGACUGGCAUUUGGGGGGGUGCAGGAUGGAGGAGAAAUGCUGUAGACACAGGAUUUCUUGAUUUCAGUAGAGCAUUUGACAGUCUCUUAAUAGUCUUGUGGUCAAGAUGGAGAGAGUGGGACCAGAUCGCUGUUUUCCAACCUGAGGGCUGAGAAGUUUAUUACAAGGAGCCAGAGAAUCCAUAUGCGUACCAAGCAUUGUCAUUUUGAUCUUUAUUUAGCUCUAGCAAAAUAAGCAGCAUGACUCAGGAGAAUAAAUAAGCAAACAUGCUUUCUGCAGAGUGCAUAAAUAACGUCUCACACAUAUAUGUAUUGCUAUUUUUCUACUAUAUCUGGGUGCUCUUGGGAGGAAUGAAUGAAUGAAAAAUCAUUUAUUAAGCAUGGACUCCGUGCCAAACACUGUGCUAAAUGCUGGGGAUGCAAAUACAAAAUUGAAGGCAGUCUGCCUCUUCAAGGAGCUUCUGUUCUACUAAUAAGACAACUCAUAUUGGGGAGUAUUGGAGAGGGAAGCUUUUGGACUUGGAAGGGAUGGUGGAUAAAGCCAUAGAGAUCGACAUCUCCUCGUCACAAAUGUUAUUUAGAAUUUUUAGUGAAAUCAGAGUAGAUUUUUGUCCCUUGUAAUGGAUGUAGAGCUGGUUUGGAAGUCAGUUAGGAAGUUCUGGGUUUGAGGCUCAGGUCUUCUGAUUCAGAUCGAUAGCGUCAUGCCCUUAACUUCUUAGUACUUUCAGCAACUCUCUGGCUAUCUUGCAUUAAUAGAGGGAAUUUUCUAACCUGGGAGUUCCUAUAGUAAUGAAGUCACAGAUCUCCUCUUAAUCCUUGUUUUUCCAGUUAAUGCUUCCUAAUAGUACAAUUAUUAUAAUGCCAAUACUAAUAUUGGUUAGCAUGUGUGCAAUAAUACAUUUAUUUAUCACUUACUCUGUGUCAGGUAUUGCACUAAGUGGCUUUAAAAUAAUAAUAAUAAUUCUAUUAAUAAUAGCUAGUAUUUUAUAGUAUUUAUUAUGUGCCAAGCACUGUGCUAAAUGCUUCAUCAUCAUUAUCAUCAUCCUCCUAAAUAACAACAUUUAUAUAGCAUUUCCUUACCAUGUGGCAAACACUGUGCUUGAGGUACAUAAUAAUAAUAAUAAUUAUAGCCAAUAUUUCUGUAGUGCUUAUUAUAGGCCAGGCACUAUGCUAAAUUCAUCAUCAUCAUCAUCAUCAUCAACAACAACAGCAACAUUUAUAUAGCAUUUGCUUGCUAUAUGGCAAACACUGUGCUUAAGUCCAUAAGAAUAAUAAUAGCCAAUAUUUCUGUAGUGCUGAUUAUGGUCCAGGAACUAUGCUAAGUGCAUAAUAAUAAUAAAGCAUCAAGGACAUUUAUAUAAUACUUAACUAUGUGGCAGCCACUGUGCUAAGUGCAUAUAAUAAUAAUAUGAUAAUAAUAACUAAUAUUUCUCUGAUGCUUAUUAUGAGCCAGGCAGUAUGCUAAAUACACAAUAAUAAUAAUAAUAAUAAUAACAGAAUGUAUAUAGCACUUAUCAUGCGCUAGCCACUAUGCUAAGUGCUUUAGAAUUAUUAUGUCAUUUUAUUUAUUUAUUUAUUAUCUCAUAUUAUCUCUCAUUUGAGAAAGUGCGCUUUACAUAUAUGCUAACUUAUUUGACAUUAUAAUUUUGGAAAAUCUGUAAAAUAUUUUUACAUAUUAUAAAAAGGUUUUUUUUUUUUCUCUAUUUGCCUAGUCUGGGAACCACUGUGGUAAGUAAUAAUAGAAUUAAACCCUAGACCAAUGUAGUCCAGUCCUGCCAUUUUUAACAGUUGAAGAAGCUACAGCCCAAAGACCAUCAGACCUUUUUUCUACUUUAACACGCUGUCUCAUUCUUUAGUAGAUAUGGAACUGGUUGAAUGACUAGGCCCAGAUACAGGCCAAUAAUGAAUCGGUGUCAACCUGGAGGGAGGUCUCUGUUGCAGUGCCCAAAGAGUUGUCCUUUGCCCUGUUCUGUUCAACAUUUUUCUCAAUGGUUUCAAUGAAGGCAGAGAUGUCAUGCUUUGUCAAAUUUGUGGAUGACAUGAAGCUGGAGCAGAGAGCUGCCACAUGGAUAACAGCGUCAGGAUUCACAGAGAUCUUAAUAUAAGGCCAGAAUGAUGGGCAAAAUCUACUGAGAUGCAGUUCGGUAGGGAUAAAUAGAAAGAUUCCUGGGUUUUUAAAAAAAUGACAUUCGGAAAAGGAUAGCAUGGAAGGGAGGCGAUGGAAUGGUUUCUAUGAAAGGGUUUUUAUUUUUUAUGGAUUGCAAAUUUAAUAUAAAUCAAUAGUAGGAUAUUUUCCUUCCCCCUCCCUCCAAAAUCUGGAAUGAUCUUAUGCUUCAUUAAUAGAGUAUGUAGAGAAUUCAUAAGAUAACAUGUAAAGUACUUUGUAAACCUUAAAGCUUUAUAUAAACGCUAUUCCUCCUUCUCUUUCUCUGCCUUUUUUUCCCUCCUCCUCCUCUGCCUUCUCCUGUUCCUUCUUUUUUCUUUUUUUCUUUUUUCUUCAUCUUAUUCCCCCGAAUAAAGUAGAUAGUAGCUCUACUAGGCUCUGUCCUGGUUGGAUCACAUUAAAAAAAAAACAAACAUUUUUAAUUCUGGACACCCAUGUUGAUAAACCAGAAGGAAAGAGGGAAGGAAGCAAGCAUUUAUUAAACAUCUACUAUAUUCCAGGCCCUCUGCUAAGCACUUCACAAACUUCUCAUUUAAUCCUCACAACUACUCUGGGAGUUAGAUAGUAGUUAUUAUCCCCAUUUCAUUGAGGCAGGCAGAGAUUUAGGGAGUUGCCCACGGUCAUACAACUAAAUACCUGGAGUCAAAUUUGAACUCAGUUCUUCCUAACACCAGUAAUAAUAAUAAUAAUAAUAACAUUAAUUUAAAUAAUAUUUUAUAAUAAUUUAUUAAUAAUGAUAGCUAACAUGCUUGGGUACUGUGCUAAAUAUUUAUAAUUCUUAUCUCAUUUACUGCUCACAAUAACUCUAGGAGGUAGGUAGCUGUUAUUACUAAUAUUACAUUUUACAGAUUGGGAAACCUGAGGCAAGCUGAGGCUGGAUUCGAACUCAUUAUCAUCCUGAUUCCACUGAAUUACCUAGUUGGAAUACAGGAUGUUACAGGAUGAUGAGAGUACUGGAAGCCAUUCCAGGAGAUAAUGGAUGGAUUGAGAACCUUGAGGGUUUAUAACCUGAAGAAGGUAGUGGUACUUCAGUAGCCUUCCAAUAUGUGAAGCACUGUCUUUUUUUUUUUUCUUUUUUUUUAAUUAUAGCUUUUUUAUUUACAAGUUAUAUGCAUGGGUAAUUUUUCCGCAUUGAGAAUUGCGAAACCUUUUGUUCUAACUUUUUCCCUCCUUCCCCCCACCCCUUCCCUCAGAAGGCAGGUUGACCAAUGCAUGUUAAAUAUGUUAAGGUAUAAGUUAAAUACAGUAUAAGUAUACAUGUCCAAACAGUUAUUUUGCUGUACAAAAAGAGUCAGACUUUGAAAUAGUAUACAAUACUAUGAAGGAAAUCAAAAAUGCAGGCGGAUAAAAAUAUAGGGAUUUGGGAUUCUAUGUAAUGGUUCAUAGUCAUCUUCCAGAGUUCUUUCGCUGGAUGUAGCUGGUUCAGUUCAUUACUGCUCUAUUGGAAGUGAUUUGAUUCAUCUCAUUGCUGAAGAUGGCCAUGUCCAUCAGAAUUGAUCAUCAUAUAGUAUUGUUGUUGGAGUAUAUAAUGAUGUGAAGCACUGUUUUAUGGGAAAGGGAUUAGAAUUGUUUUGUUUUGCCCCAAGCUGGUGAGUAGAUUUAGCUGAGAGGCAGAUUCUGGAUUAGUUUAAGGUAUGUCUUCCAGAAAGCUGUGUACCAUUUGAAGGGGCUGCCUUGGGGAUUCUUACCACUGCAGGCCUUCUGGUCUUGGUUGAAUGACCAAUUGCUGCUAAUUCAGUGGAGAGUGGGGGCUGCUCCCUCCCCCCGCCAUGGCUCUUUCAUUACUGAGAUUCUGUGAUUUUAUGAAGCUCUGAUAAAACUGAGACAGACCUGGGUAGCUUAAAAAGGCCAAGGUCUCCCAUUUUAUUUAUGACCAUCUCCAGUUUCCUGGUCUUUUUAUUUAUUUAGAUAGAUAGAUCUAAAGUAUCUAGAUAUACUUAUUUUAUAUAUAUUAUAUAUGUAUAUGUGUGCAUGUAUAUCUAUAUCUAUAUCUAUAUAAAUAGAGAGAGAGAGGGAAGGGGCUUGGAAUAUAGUAGAUAUUUAAUAAAUGCUUGCUUCCUUUCUUUUUUUCCUUCUGGUUUAUCAAUGUGAGUACCCAGAACUAAACAUGGCAUUUAAAAUGUGAUCCAACACAUAGAUAGAGCAGCCCCCCAUCUCUUUCUCUGUCUCUCUAUAAAAACAUAUUUUAUAUACAUUUAUUUUCUUCUAUAUAUAAUUUUAAUAUAUUGUAGUAUAUCUAUUUUACACACACACAUAUAUUAUCUUUUAUAUAUUAUAUAUUUAUAUGCAAUAUUUUCUUAUAUAUGUUAUUUUAUACAUAUAUUAUCUUAUAUAUCAUAUAUUUUAUAUAUUAUAUAUUUUAUAUACAUAUAUUUUCUUCUAUAUGUAUUAUUUUAUAUUUAUUAUAUAGAUUAUCUUUUUAUAUACUAUUAUAUAUAAUAUAUAUUAUUAUACAUGUAUAAUAUAUAUAUACACAUUAUAUGCAUAUGAAACACAUGCAUAGAUAGUUUUCAGCAUUCACUCCUGCAAAACUCCGUGUUCCAAACCUUUUUUCCUCCUUCCCUUCCCCCCAACUCAAGCAAUCCAAAAUAUGUUUCUUGGUGUGUAUCUGCUCACUGGGCUGGCCCUGGAGGAAGAAUUGAGGCUGGUGACUUUGCAUAACCCUCUCACUUAAAUCCAGUUCACCUCCCCAUCAUGGCAUCACCUCCUAGAUGUCAUGAGGAAGGGCAAACCGUAACAGCCACCUCCUAAUUCUAGAAUUGGAAGGGAACUCAUUUGUCAUCCAUUUUACAGAUGAAUAAACUGAGGCUCUGGGAGUUACUUUAGCAGGAUUUGAGCCCUUUCCUUGCAUACCCGGCACUUACUCUUUCUAAUGCACAAACCUAUUUCUCUCUACUCCAGUGCAUCCUCAUAUAAUGUCCAGCUUGCUUAUAGCAGUUAUUAAAGUGUAAUCUCCUUGAGGGCAGGACAGGGCUAUUUUUUACAGUGUCUUUAUUAUUAUUAUUUAUUAAAUGGCACUUAAUAAAUGCUUAUUGAUUGGCAGUCAUACAAAAGCCAGUGGACUGUCCUCUUCUUUUCCAGUCCCUCUGCGAGUCUCCCUCCAGGACAGUGGCUACAGCAACGUCCACCUCAGUGCUUGGUUGUCUGCAUUCCAGGCCUUUACAGUCUAAAUUACUGUUCACCUUCUUGCUUCUCAUUGUGUCUUGUAGUGCCCAUAAAUGAAGCUGGUGGGGGAGCCUUCCUGUGGAGGGAGCAGGGCCUUUUUCAGGAAGCAUAUGACGGAGGGGCUAGAUUAUCAUAUUUUGAGUUGGGCAACCCCGGCCUAGAUCUACCCUUUCCAUCGAUAAAUAAGCAUUUAUCUAUCUGUCUGUCUAUCUAUCUAUUUCUUUAUUUUGAGCAAUAAGCUGAUAUUUAUCUAAUUAAUUAUAAAAAUAGAUUAUUAGCUUUAAAAGUGAAUAUUCAUUCAAUUUACCUAUGGAGGAUAAUCGUUUUUGCCAGUCUUUUCAGUAGUUAGGUGAUUCAGGCCAAUUUCAAUAGACUUGUGAUGGAGAGAGCCCUCUACGUCCAGAAAGAGCACCAUGGGGCUGAAUCAGUCAGCAUUUAUUAAACACCUACUGUGUGCCAGGCACCAUUCCGUGUCACUGACUACUGUGUGAGAAUAAUGCAGGGAAGGCCUGGGAGCUUAAGUUGGAGUACCGGGCCACUGAUGAUUACUGCCAGGGUAACUGGACAUUUAAUCUCUCUUGACCUGAGUUUCUUUAUCUGUAAAAUUAAGAGCUUUGAGGGACCUUCUAGCUCUCACUGAAUGUGUAUUGUCAGUCAGAUUGAGACGUGUUGAAGACCUGAGCUUACAAAUGCCCAGGUCUCCCAUCCCAUCCAGGGCCCUCUCCAGAUCUGGCCAUUGGACCCAGGGGACUCUGGAGGAGAAAGUGAGAGAGGUGACCUUGCCCGGCCCCGCCCCCCCCCCCCCUGAAAUCCAGGUCACUUAGAUGCCGUGACAUCACCUCCCUGACCUCAUGUCCUCUUCUAGAGCAAAGGGCAAACAACAACAAAGUGAGUUUCUCAAAUUUGUGCCCUUAACCUCUAAAUGGGGAUUGUUGUCCCUGUAUUACCUGUCUCCUAGGGGUCUUAUGAGGCUCAAACCAUAGAUAUCUGGGGAAAUUAUUAUUUUUUUAAAAAAAUUUAAAUUUUUUCCCCUGAGGCAAUUGGGGUUAAGUGACUUACCCAGGAUCACACAGCCAGGAAGUGUUAAGUGUCUGAGAUCAGAUUUGAACUCAGGUCCUCUUGACUCCAAGGCUGGUGCUCUGCCCACUGCACCACCAAGCUUCCCCACUGGGGACAUUCUAAAUAUUAAAUGUACUUCUUAAACCACAAUAUACUAUUUAUACGAACCCGUUCUUAUUCUGUCGCCAGCCCCAGUGUCAGUUCCUUGGGGAGAACCCAGUCCCUAAUUCCAUAGUUGCUUCUUCAUUGGUCAUUCCAUCCCAGCCACCAGCAUUACAGGCAGAACUCGUGUUUCAUCAUCAGUGGAAACCUGUCACUGUGUGGAGGGCUCCCCCAAGGCAGGGCCUGGCCUGAAUCUAUAGGCGUAGUGCCAGUGGGACUUUCCUAAAUGGACCAGUAUUGGUUCUGUAUCUUCUCACUUAGGCUUUUUGAAAGUGGUUGUCUUCCCUUCUGAAAUUCCUGGAUCCUAGCCUCAGGACCUUUGGCAAUCAUCAUUGGUUAACUGGAAGAGUUUCCUAGAUGUUUGUAAUUGUAUUCGUUUGCCAUUUUCUAGAUCUCUUGGCAGCAUGAUGUAAUGGUAAGAACACAGGUCUGUUAGUUUAAAAAAAUCUGUCCGAGUUGUGUCUUCGGCACUUAUGAGCAAAUCAAGGCAGCCUUUCUGAGCCUCAGUUGGCUCAUCUGUGAAAUAGGGGUACAACUCUCAUACUACUUAGAAUCCUUCUUUCCUAACAACGAGGAAAGAAUUUUAUAUCUCAUUGGUAAGUUCCUCUUGGUAGGGGGGGGUCUCCAUUUAGGACCCUUAUCAGUCAUCCACCAUUCCCUUCCCAACUCCACUUCCAUGGUCCAGGCUUUGCCUCCAUACCUGAGCUACCUUCUUACCUGGGAAUUCCUUCAAUAGCUUGGCCCUUCUCAUCUUGAGGUGCUUAAUAAAUGCUUGUAGCCUCCUAUUUGCCUUAAAGAUCAGAACGUGAGUUUCCAUUCAUGCAUUAAGGAGUAUAUGCACAGAAUAGACUGAACCUUACUGUUCUGAUAACCAGUCCGAUUUGGUGGAUUUUUUCUUUGCUUGAAUUCUAAUAGAUGCUGGAACCCUACAGUUAAGCAUUUGAUUUUCUGUUGUGGUUUUUAAUUUUCCUUUAGUUUCUAUUGAUCUUAUUCCUUGGGUUCCUCAAGGGCAGGAGAUUGUGUUGGCUACUUCUUGGCCAACACUUGGCUACUUCAGUACUAGCACAGCCUCUAUUCCCUACCUAAGGCUGAUUCAUCCUGGCCUGAUCUAGCCAAUGCCUUCUUCUGUACAAUGUGAUGGAACGAGAUGGUCUCUAAGGUCCCAUCCACCUCCAACUCUUUCUCAUGUCCACUUAUGGAGUUUGGGUUGGUUUUUGUUAUUGUUAUCGAGUUCUUAAUCUUGUCCCUGGAGACUCCUUCAAGGGAAAAAGGAUUAAACCUGAAUUUGAGGUUCAGAUCCUGUCAGUUACUUUGCAGCUUCAAUUUCCCCAUCUGUAAAUGAGCUGGUUGGACUCAAGGUUCCCUUUUAGCUUCUUUAUACCUGCACUUUUCAGCUCUGCUUCAACUCUUACUAAACUUUUCCUAGUAAUAGACAAAACAUUUAAGCAAAAAGGAUCACACUUGUUUUGUUGCAGCAAAUGAUACUGUUGGAUACAAUGUUUCAGACACAUAGCCCUUGUUUCUCUGUUCAGUGGAAGAAGAUUGUGUUUUAUAAUCACUUUUCUAGGACUGAGAGUGUUCAUUGAAAUUCAUCAGUUAUAAUAUACACUUGUGGGUUCUUUGGUGAGGAGCUUCAGAGUGGGACUUGGGUUGCACCAGAGCCCUGAAGAUGGGAUGGGUGGUAAAUCUGACGAAUGUCUGCUAGAGAAUGGUACUGACAUGGCGUGGAGGACUUUUGGGGGACCAGAGAAAGCAGCAGUAUCCUUUAUAUGGUCUUAAAUGUACUCUAUAGCCCAUGGACCAGAAGAACCAUGGGUCACAGUGGAAUUCUGGAGCAGGAUGUUUUUGUGAUGCUCAAUGGAGAGAACAGGGAUGGUAGGUGAGAAGGUUUAGAGAGGUGCUGGAAAACUUAGAAUAUCAGGAAGGUUUUGUGUUGGUCAGAGAUCCGACUUAGCCCUCUGCUUAGUACUAUAUAGGAUUAGUACCAGCGAGGGAGCCAGUAAUAGAACAGUGGUGGAAAGGGGCAUGAGAUUUGGGGAUCCGGCAGCCAGGACUAAGCCUAGCUCUUUUAUUGCUUGUGGGACAUUGGGCCAGUCAUUCAGUUUCGUCAUCUAUACAAUGAAUGCAGUUUAGAUGAGAUGACCACCGAGUCUCCUUCCAGCUCUAAAUAUGUGUAUAUGCAUGUGUGUGUUAGUGUAUAUAUCAGAGUAGAUAUAGAUAUAUGUGUGGUUACAUAAUAUGUGUGUAUAUUUAUACACGCAUGUAUGUGUACCACCAAAGGCCCCAAAUUUGGGGGUAUUAUGUACACACUAUAUUUGUUUUUAUAUAUACAUAUAUAGUACAAAAUAUACACAUGGGUGUAUAUGUGUAUGUAUACAUUACAUGUAUGUGUGUGUAUAAAUAUAUACAUAUACACACAUAUAUGUAUGCAUGUUUAUAGACCAUCAGGAGUCCAGAAUUUGAGGGGAACACAUAUCCAUACAUGUAAAUUUACACACAUGCAGUAUACACAUAUGGCACAACAGAAACCCACCAUUUGAGAGGAACAUACACAUAAACAUGUAUACGUGGUAGAUAUGUGUAUAUCUGUUUAUGUGAAUCUGUGUUUGUGAACAUACAUAUUGUUGUUUGGUCAUAUAUGACCCUUUGUAACCCUGUGGGCCUUGGCACACCAAUACUGUUCAUGGGAUUUUCUUAGCAAAGAUACUGGAGUGGUUUGUUAUUUGCUUCUCUAGGGGAUUAAAGUAAAGUAAAGAGAAGUAAAGAAUCCCACAGCUGGUCAGUUUGAGGCCAGAUUUUAACUCAGUUCUUUAUGACUCCAGAGCCAGUGUUCUAUCCAUUCAGCCAUUUUGGUAAACACAUAUAAUAUAUAAUAUAUAUAUAUAUAUAUAUAUACAUACAUAUAUAUAUAUACACACACACACAUAUAUAUGUAUACACACAUAUAUACACAUACAUGUCAAUCUAUAUAAUACACACACAUAUAUGUAUAUAUAACAAAUAUUUGUACAUGUAUUACAUGUAUAUCCAUUCUGAUCAUUCCGUUAAAGAAAAGAAGUUACAGGGGUUGACUUUUCUCUAGUAAGGAAAAAAGUUUUAGUAACCAUAAUUGUUCACCACAAGCUGUUUGCUUGUGAGCAGUGAAUUCUGUCACUGGAGAAGUAUUCUAGGAGAGAUGCUAAGGAUGUUGUGGAUGCCAUUCCUGAGCUGCCUGGGAGUGUGAACCAGAUAAUGGUUGUAGCUAUCCAUUGAGCAGCAAGGCAGUACCCUGUGACGGACUGAGGACUUCAUCACUGGACGUGCUCGGGCACAGGGCCGAGUGACUAUUAGGAGACUCCUGCAUUGCCUAGGUUGAGCUGGGUGAUUCUGAGGUCCCUUCCUAGGCAGAUUCUAUCCCAUUUGUGAUGCUAGUAUUUUCACUUACCUUCCAAAGAUCAGCUCUUGAGUGCAGGGGUUGCUUCUCCUUAUAUUUCUAGUGCUUAUAGCACAGUUCCUGGAACAAAAUAGAGGCUUAAUAAAUGCUCACUGAUUUUUGAUUGACUGAUUCAGUAAUUAUCUUUUUGUUUCCAUUGGUGAAUAUAGUAUAUAUAUGCAUACACACACACACACACACACACACACACACACACACAUAUUUAAUAAAGCUUUUUAUUUUCAAACCAUACACACAGGUAAUGUUUCAGCAUUGACCCUUGCAUAGCCUUGUGUUUCAGAUUUUUCCUUCCUUCCUCCCACCCCUUCCCCUAGAUGGCAAGCAUUCCAAUAUAGGUUAUACAUGUUAAAAUAUAUGAGUAACUAUCUUUUUAGACAUAGCCGUGAGACUGACAUUUUCAAAAUCUUGUAGCAUUUCUGUAGCUAGAGCUCUAUGCAUUGAGGAAAACCUUGUGUUUCCUCCUUUUGAAGUUCUCAGUAGUAUGUCCUUAGGCUGACACAUACUUGGAGCUAUUGUUUUUUUUCCUGUGGUGAUGUCCAGUUUUUGGAAUCAGUGUCUAGUUUGUGAGACAAAGUGGGAGAGGAGCUGUUGUCUGUGGUGGAAAGAAUAAAGUCUGCCUUUUGCAACAGCAGACAUCUGCUUGCCUUUCAGCCUUGUGUCAACGUGGCAUUGUUGAAUAAGGAGGCACUCCUGCCAACCGCAGGACGUGGAGGUCUUUGCUGCUUAACCUGGUAGCUGAUUAAUCAGAGAGUGUUUAAUGAAUGCCGACCGGGUGCAAGGACUGGCAUCCAUCCGUCUGUACAUGAGAGGGCUUGAAUGGUGAGCUCCAAUAUGAGCCUGGGUUUGGAGGAUAGUAGACAUUAAUGGUGGCCCAGAUACCAUCUGGAUACUCUUCGAAACAUGAAGCCUGUGUGUGUAUUAGCGUGUUUGGAGAAGUCAAAUGUUUGGCUUCCCUUAGCAGGUGGCAAGAAAUUCAUCUGGCAAACAAAAGAUUAAAAGAAAAUAAUUGGAGAACUUUUCAUCCUUCACAUCCCCUUCCACAACACCAUGGGUUUAACGAGGGAAAAAAAGUCAUCUAAGAGGCCACAUUCAUCCCUCAUUUUAUAGAAUGUAAAUCAUGGUUUUACUUUGAAGGCUUUGAAGAAGCCUCAGAUAUUUGAGUGUUUUAAGGAUCUCCAUUUUCUUGCUGCCAUCCUCAUGGAUCUUUGUGAAUGGCUGGAGCCUCCCCAGAAUCCUUCCUCCUCAUGGGGAUGAUCUCAGACCACACAGUCCUCAAUUGAAAGAUCAUUAGCAGGUUGAUGUUCAGAACCCUUCAGAGCUGGUAGAGCAGGCUGAUUGCUUGCAUUCAGUGGGCAUCCCCUUCAAGAACCCAUGCUCACCUCAGUGCUAGGAUGCAGCAUUGGCAAAAACACGGUAAAUAAUGUGCUUUUAUAGAAUUCUGCCUUAGAUCAGAGUAGAGUGAAGGGAAUUUGUAGCUUCUUACCAGGAAAAGAUUGAUGGGAGUGAGAAGGGAGAGGAGGAGGUGAGAUUUCAAAAACUGUGCAGGAGUAUGGAGCUUGCCAGGCUCAGAAGAAUGGGUAUAGUAGAGAAGAGGAUUUCAUUUGUAGUCAAGAAAAUCUUGCCCCCUUUUGGAUAAUUGCUAGCUAUGAAACACUUCCCCAUCUGUAAAAUGGGAAUAGUCACUCUAGCAUAUACCUCACAGGAUAGUUAUGAAGGUUCACUGAGAUGGUGUAUAUGAGGCUUAAAUUUACAAAUUGUCAAAGUGCUAUAAAAAUAUCAUUCAGUGUUAUUAAGGACUAUUUUUAUAAGGAUACCAGCUUAGUACAAAUUAGGACUCAGAUAGUUGCUAUUAUUGUUAUGAUAUCAAUAAUAAAAUUAAUAAUACACUAAUAUGAAAAUAUUAGUACAAUAUCAAGUCAAUGUUAACAUUAAUAAUUAUAUUUAUAUGAUUAAUAUUGAUAUUAAAAUUAAAUAUUAAUAUAUUUAUUUUAUUAAUAAAAUAUCUAAAUUAAAUUAUAAUUAAAAUAUUUAUAUUAUCAUUAAAAUAUUUUUAAUACUGUAAUAAAUAAAUAACUUAAAUAAAAAAUAAAAAUUAAAUUAAUUAACUUUAAUCAAUGAGUUUGGUCCUGAGUUUCGAGUUGGGGACUCUACAAGAGAAUAUUUGAUUUCCUUUCUUUGAGGAGCUUGAUAAUGAUAAUAGUAAUAGUAGCUAGUGUUUAUAUAGCUUUUUAAAGUUUGCAAAGCAUUUUACAAAUACAAAUUCAUUCUGCACUUUGUGAUAUGCUGUGAGAAUCAAAUGAGAUUACAUCUAUCUAUAAAUCAUAUAAAUUUUCUAGCUAUUGCUGUAAGGACAACAACCUCGAAAGAGAAGUGUUAUUAUUAUCCCCAUUUUACACAUGAGCAAACUGAAGUAGGCAGAGGUUAAGUGAUGUGCUCUGGAUCACAUAGUCAGUGAGAUUUGAACUCAGGCUUUCCAGGCUCCAGACCCAGCCCUCUGUUCACUGAAUUAUGUAGCCCUCUCAUUAUGAUAGAAGGUGCACAUUUUAUGGGAGUAAAUUCAGCUAAGGUUAGACUGAUGCUGACUAAGGGCUGGGCAGUGACAAGUAGUCAGCAUUCAGUUGGGAAUGGAAGGAAUGAAAUAAUACACUCUCUAAAUCCUCAGGGAAUCUGUAAGAGGAAUCUUGAAGUACAACAGAAUAGACACUGGGAAUUCCAGGUGAUGACCAUCUGCCUUCUGGGCGAGCAUUGGUUAGUAUUAUUAGCAAAGGGAGACAUCAGAUUCUUUGUUCAAAAUCAAAAGACCUGAAUUGUAUUAUAUAUAUUUUUUAUUCUGGAUCUAUGAUUUCACUUCAGUGAGGAAACUCUCAAAGAGGAGGCCUCUUCUACUUAAGCAAAUCAGAAAUAUUCUGCAGUUUAUAAUCUUACUGAAUUGUCUGAGAAUUUGUCAUCUGCUUACAGUUAGUCACUAUGUGUAAGAGGAAAGACUCGAACACAGCUCUCCUGCUAGUUCUCAGGCCACUAAUUUUUUUUUUUUUGAGGUAGAGGGUUGGUUUUAAGGAUCUGGAAGAGAGAGAUUCCAGUAUUGCCUCUGAGAGGUUCUAAUUAUAAGAUUUUGGCCAAGUAACUGAACCUCUGAAUACCUCGAGGUAAUUUCCUUAGAUUCUAAAUUGCAAAGGACGUGCUAAUUUGUAUCAGAGGAGGAAGUUUUCUUAGUGAGAGUUCCCUAUUUCAGGGAAAUCAAAGGUCCAGAAUUUUUUGGGGAAAACCAUUUAUUUGUUAUAAUGAAUAAAAUUACCAUUUGUCUUAAGGGUAGUGACUAGUCUUGAUACCAGAAGGAAAAUAAUGAAAUAAACUUCCUCUCUCAGGAGAGGAGUCGUGGGCUACCCACACUAAAUGUUAUAUAUUGUCAUAUAAAAUUGCUGCUUGUUGUUUUUGCAUAAUUUUUCCUAGUAAAGGAGGGUUUGGUUUAUGGAAGGAGAGUAUAAAAGGAUAAUAGCCAUGGCAUAAAAACAAGAACUAUCAAGGCAGUUUUUUCCAUCAAAAAAUGCUACCUGCUUUUACCUAUUAAAAAAAUUCAUUGAUAUGCAUUCCGUUUCUUAUAUCACUACAGUUAUCCUAAGUAUUCCUUCUCCCCCUCUCAAAGAACCAUUCUAUAGAAGUAAUAAUAUUUUUAAGGGGGAGGAAUCAGUGUUACUGAUCAAUAGACUGAAAAAAGCCCUAAAACAUGUACAAUUGCAGCACCUCUGAAUCUUCCUCUGACCUCCACAAAAGGGCGGGUUGGGGGUAUCCUCUCAUAUCUCUUCAGUUGAAUAAGUCAUAGUUGGUCUUUAUAAUUUUGGUUAUAUUCAUUUUUUCUUGAGGGAUAUAGGGAGGAAUAAGUUGUAUUAUUGUAGUUAUUGAUAUAUUGUUUUCUUGGCUCAGCAGCAGUUCAUAAGCAGUUUCAGUGCUUCUCUGUAUUUAUCACACACAUCAUGUCUUACAGCAUAGUGAUAUUCUAUUAUAUUUACAUAGCACAAAUUGUUUACCCAUCUCCUUAUUGAUGAACAUCCACCUUGUUUCUAGUUCUUUGCUAUCACAGAAUGUGCUACUAUAAAUAUUUUGGGGUAUGUUUUUACAAACUUUACUCUUAGUGAUGGCUUCCUUGGGGGUACAAACCCAAGAAGAGAAUCUCUGGUUCAAAGCACAUGGACAUUUUAGUUACUUUAUUUGCAUAAUUAGAAAUUUCUUUCCAAAACUACCCUACCAGUCCAAAGCUCCACCAUAAUGUAUUAAUGGGCCUAUCAUUCCACAAACCCUCCCAUACUGAAGAUUACCAUUUUUUGUCAUUUUCCAUUUUGCAGAGUGUGAGGUAAAAUCUCAUGGUUGUUUUGAUUUGAAGUAAUGAUACAGAACAUUCUUUAAAGUGGUUGUAAAUACACCACAAUUAUUUUAAGAACUGUUUGUUCAUAUUCUUUGACUCCUUAUCUUUUGGGGAAUCUGCCUUUUCUUUUGGAAUAACAUUUUAAGUUUAUCAAGGGAAUACAUAAUAAUCUAGUGGAGAGAGUUGAGAAUUAGGAGGCUUGGUUUCCAGUACCAGUUCUUAUCACUAAUUAGCCAUGUGGCUUAGGUAAGUAAGUGACUUCAGUUCUCUAGAAUUUCAUUGUUCCCAAAGUAAAAUGAGCUUGUUGGACUAGAAGAAUGCUGAGAUCCCUUCCAGCUCCAACACUUAGUAAUGCCAGUAUCCAUCGAGAUGAGGUUCAGUGCCUGGGAUGUGGGCCUUUUCCCAGCAUAGUUGAGAUGCCCCAUUGGUGCUCUAAAUAAGAUCAUGUACCCCAGGAAACUUAGAGCCCAAAGACUUAAUGUCUUGUUAGUAGAACUGUGAAUUGGACCAAGACAUCUGGGAAACAGUUUGGAUUUAGCCCUUGAAUGAACAUAUUGCACAUAUGUUUUGACCCAGUGAUACCACUGCUAGCUUAUAAAAAGAGAGGGAAAGGACCUGUAUGUACAAAAAUAUUUAUGGCAGCUUUUCUGUGUUGGCAGAGACUGAACAAAUUAUGGUAAUGAAUAUAAUAGAGUAUUAGUACACUCUUAGAAAUGAUAAAGGAGAUGGUUUCAGAGAAACCUGGGAAGACUUAGAACUGAUCCAGAGUUAAAUGAGCAGAACCCCUGAGAGCACCGCUAUAAAGAAAAACCAUGUUGGAAAGACUUAAGAAUUGUGGCAACCAUAGUUCCAGAAGGUCUAGUCCAGAAGAUUGAGGAUGAAAGCGACUUCCAUCUUUUCUUGGUCAGGUAAGAAACUGAAGAGGGAGGAGCAGACAUGCCCUUUUUUGGACAUGACCAGUGUAGCAAUUACUUUACAAUUUUGUUUACAGUUGUUAUGUUUUACAUUUGCACAUCUGACACAAGGGGUAGGUUUUUUUUUUCCUAAUUUCAGAUUUUUGGGGGAGAAUUGAAGGGCAUAGCUAAGAGUUAGUAAAGUAAGAAAAGAAAAAGUGAGAUGAGAGGGUAAUUGAGAGAUUUUAAAUGCACAGAAGAGAACAGAAGGAGGCUUGGUAGGAAACACAGACUAACAGGACAGUUCUGAAAACGCCGGGCAGAAUUUGUUGUCCCCUGGGAAGAGAACAACUCGUGUGGCUCAGGCGCUCAGCAGCAUGUUCGGAUCUCUUUUUUCCUUCUGCUUUGGAUAUAGAGGAGCCCAUUUUGUUUAGUGUUUAAAGUUUAGGGGAAAAAGUGAAACGAACAAAACAAAGUUAAUGCCCUUCCAAGGAGAGGAACCACUAAUCCUCUCCCAGGCCAGCUGACCCAUAAUCGGGUUUUCUCGCCUCUCCAACCAUGGACUCCUCCCUCCUGUCUGGGUAAGAUCAUCUCCACUGAGACAGAUGUGGCCUUCCGAAGAACUUUCCUCAGGAACAUAUGACUCAGCAGUUGGAUUCCCAGGGGGACAGAGGCCCCGAAGUUCUCCCUGCUAUGGUUGGAGUCCACACCUCUGGAACUUGGCACCUGAUCUUGGAAGGCCAGAGGGGUAAGUCGGUUUCAUUUUGGAUUCCUCGGGCUACAGUUCACCCUGGCUCCCCGGAUUUCCUGGCAGAAGACCCCCUGGUGGGGGGGUAGGAGGGGUGAUCCCUGCCAUCAGAUAGUCAAGUGGGGUUCUCGGUUCUCACUGCAUUGGGCCCAAAGGCCCCCUGAGAAAUCCGGAGGAACCUGGGUUUGGGGAAAAGCCAGCCUGUGAAUUACCCCUGACCCCUUCGUAGCAGAAAUAGUUAAUGUGAUGGUGGUCCUAGGAUGGCGACGAACCGUCCUUUAGGGACUUCAGAAGAUGAGCUGGGAUGCCGUUGGGCUGGGUUCUGGGGACCAUCUCCCAGAGUUCAGCAAGGCUCUGCAGGGGGGUCUCAGGGGAAGAGUUGAGCCUGCUGAGGGGAGGGUCUCGAAGCCCCAGAGCAUCCAAGGUGGUGGGUGAUGACAGGCCACCCAAAAGUGUGGCCAGAGAGGCGGGGUGAAGGCCCAACUUUUUUUUUUGGUCUUGUUUGACCAGCCUUGGCACUGCCCCCCCCCCCCAGCUCUCCAGGGGAAAGCUGCAAUUCUGCUAUUGCAACACAGGGAGCAGACUGGAGAAUUUAGAUCUGCGUCACACAGCUCAGAGAGAGAGAGAGGGAGAGAGAGAGGGAGAGCUCCGUCGAUAGGUCUGUUAGCAACAGCCCUGCAGCAGCAGCAGCAGCAGCAGCAGCAGAGAGAGAGAGAGAGAGAGAGAGAGAGAGAGAGAGAGAGAGAGAGAAGUAAUAUCAACAUUGAGGACUAGGUCCUGCCAACCCACUUGCGAAGCUUUCAGAGAUGUAUUGGGGACAUCGCAGCCCGUGGGAGCUCGGGCAGAGAAGAUGGCAUGCAAGGUGGCAGGAUGGCUCUGUGGGGAAGGAGGCUGGGGGGGCAGAGGUUGGGGGGCGAUGGCAGGCUCCGCCGGGGACGAAAUUCUGGAACAUUCUGUCCUGCGACACCAUACGGCAAGUUGGAUGGAGAGCCGGGACUGCGCAGGAGGCGACAGGCAGUUGUGACGGGCUCCCAGACUUGGUGGUGUGUACCCCUUCUUCCCCCACGUAUGUAUAUUCUGGGAUCGGGGGCGAUUCUUCUGUGGAGGGGGGUGCUUUCUCUCCUCAUCGCUUUUUUUUUUUUUUUUGGCUGUUUCCCUUUAAUUUUUCCACUUUAAUUUCCAUUCUCCUUAGGGUGAGUUAGUCCAAACUGACAUGGGUCAUGAGGAAGGAAACAGACUCCCCCUCCCCCCUCCAGGUUCCACUUCCAUCCACACCUUGAGCCCAGCAGGAGGUCCCUUUCUUUAGGAUGGACAGAUGACUCACCCUCUCUUUGGGUAUCUGUCUGUCAAUCAACAGAGUUGUGAUGCAGAAACGUUAGUGGGGGGGCCAGGGAAAGAAAAGGUGAAGGGACAACUUGGUUGGGGGCUCCCUGGCCCAAGGUCUGGCCAUGGGAGCGAGCGUCAGGGUCUGGGUGGAGCGGGAAGGGGGGUGGGACCCGGGCGCCCGGGUGGGGGCUGAGACUGUGGCAGGUUUGUCACUGCGUAGUUGGGGGAACUAAGUGGCGAGUGGUGACGCAGUCAUGGGCACAUCUGAGGGGGGCAGGGGAUCGAGGCUCCCCGAGUCUGCCGAGCCCCGCUGAGAGGGUUAAGGAUGAGCCGAGAAGGGGAAGCCAGCAUUUAGAGAUUAAAUGUCAUCCUUCUGGCGUUGCAAAGUUGUUUACCUUGCAUUCUCUGUGUCUCCAUGUUGGCAUCUCUCCAGUUCCCAUGUGAUGGCCUUCCCUGUACUGCUGCAUCAUUAACUAAGUGGCAGGGCUGGCCCUUCAUUGGCCAGGGGAGGGCUCAGGCUCCAGACACUUCCUCCCAUUGGUGAGAAGGGUGAUGGCAGGUGAAAAGCUCUUUUGGAUUGGCCGAGAACUGGGUAUCAAAUCUGAAUUUCCAUUUCACUGGAGAAAAAAAGGGGGGUAGUGUGGCGAUGAUGGUUGGAGCGUGGAGGGGGGCACCGGGCAGUUCGGAUCUCUGAAAGCUCUUCAGGGGCGUGUGUGUGUGCAACAGUGCCCAGGGUGCUUGGAGGCGGAAGCUCCUGGGCAUCCGAAGGACCCACAGGGCCAGCUUGAUUGCAUUUGCUCCUUAGGUGUAAGAAGAUCUUGCAGCUGUACAAACUUUUUUUUAAAUGGGUUUUUUUUUCUGGAGGGGGAGAAGAGUUGAUUUGAGAGGCAUGAGGGAUGGCAGAAGAGUUGACAGCCUCAGAAGAAAAGCUGCCUGGGCUUAUUUGAUUUCAAAAGAGGGAGUUUCCAGCUGUCACUGGCCGCACCUUGGUGUUGCAGCAAAUAACUCCCAACUCUCCUGGAAAUGCGUGGGCAAGGUAGGGCUGCGGCUGCUGCCUCCCGGGGCGGCCUCCAGACUGCUCCCCGGGGACCCGAGGUUUGCACUGACGUCCGGAGGUAGCCAUAGGUCCUCAGAGGCCAGCCUCGCGUCGGGGAGGACUGGCCUUCCUCACGUCAUCCUCAGGUGGAUGGGUGCUGGGGGAGAGGAAUGCCAUGAGGAAUGGCCCCGGAUGUUAGCCCCUGCGCUGGGUGGGCUUUCUCUAAGAGCUGAUGGAAGAAAGAGCUUCCUGACCUGCAUCGAAGGAGAGGAGAAUUGGGAGAGAGAAACUGGGGCAGCAGCUGCUGGGGGGAAUCUGAAAAAGAAAUGUUUAUCGAGAUCGUCAUCCUUCCCUUAAAUGGAGGUCCCAAGUUUGCCGUAGAUGUUCAGGUAAGAAAUAGAUAGGCCCCUUGAGCUCAGCUAUCCUCCCCCCCCCACCUCCCGAGUGGGUCAUGAAAGCUCCGUUGUGCCCCGGCCGUCCACCCCAGCGCCGCAGUGCACCCUGGAGUUUUGGCCGGCGGCUCGUGCCCCCCCAUUUCUUAUGUAACCGUGUUAUGUGCCUUCUCUCGUCCUCUGGCACGGCCCUCGCCCCGUUGGGGUGCAGAAAGCCCAGGAGGGAGGUCCUGGCUGGGGGAGAAAUUAGUGAACAAGGCUGCUCACCAGCCCCUGAGUGGUUGCGCAGUUGGCAAUACGGGCUGGGCGUGAGGGCAGAUUCCACCCUGUCCCUGCCUUGUCACCAGUGGUUUCCUGGGAACAUCUGCCUUGGAGAGAGAACGGUCCCUUUCAACUUCCUUCUGUAACUCAGCUCAUUUUGGAGGGGGGGAGAGCUUUCCAAAGGAGAAGGUAUGAUGGCUAACAAAGUAAGAUUUUAAAAAAAAAUUUUUUUUUAAGCAAAGAUGGAGGUCGGAUGGGAUGGCGUAGUUCUUGUGACUUUCUCGGGUCAUCCCGAUCCCGGUUGUUUUUCUUGUCCUUUUUUAAUUGUUUGCCCCUGGACAGUGGUCUUGAAUCCAGAUGCUUUCCUGUUGCUUGUCUUGGGGAGGUGUCCAUCAGUCCCUGCCAUGGUGGAGUGGGCUUCUGCGGCCCUACUGCGCCAAUUGCGCAGAACGGGCGGGGGCCGAUGCGGGGAGGGGGGAGGAGAUAGAGAACCCGGCUACUGCAGAAGCAGCAGAGGACGUAGUGGAGGUUGCGGCAGUGAGAGGAGGAGGUUCUCGGAGCCGGGAAGGGCUUGUUGUGCCCACCCUUACCCCGAGACCCAGACUUUGGGAAACAUGAUUAUUGUUCUUGGGACUUAUGGCUGUGUUGGGCAGGGCCCUCGCCAGUCAGAAAGUGUUUGGAGGCACAGACUGCAACGAUCCCCUCCUCGGAGAAAGUCCUGACGCACUUUGGGGUGGGGUGGCUGACGUAGCCCAGAACGUGAGAAGCAUCGGCCGUGGGGCCCGUGUUCCCGGCAGCCCAUUCUUCGACCACCGGCUGUGACGGGACGUGAAUCAGGUUUUGCUGCUUUCCAUGGCGUUUUGUGUAUGUCGAGAAUCCCGGGGGGGAUUUGAAGGUCACCCCUUCGUUUUACAGGUGAGGAAACUGAGGUUUGGGGAGGCUGUAAUUACGUAGAUAGUAGUAAAUACCAAGCCCAGGUAUCCAGCUGGCUUCUUCCGACUCUCUACUAUGUCACGUAGACUAUAUAACACAGGAUACCCCUUGAUUCUUUCCUUUACAUCCUUAUUUACAUAUCCCAUGUAUACCAGCCCUAAUUGGAAAAUUGGGAGAGUCAUUUAGGAGUGGGGAGUAAGGAACUAGAAGGAAGGGGUAUUUGUAAUGCAAGGAUUGAUGAGUUGAUUCUUCUCGUGGGUACCCCUUCCUGAGAUCGCCCAUGGUUUGCUACAUCAUCUCCUCCUCCUUCCGUGCAAAAUGUGCCGUCGUCCCUGAAAUUUGUCAUCCUUGCUCCCCGAAGAACCUCCAGGGGGCCACCUCUCUCCCUGCUCCUUGGCUCACAGCUUGGAGGACCGGCCCCCAGGUGGCCUCUUUUGGUAUUGUGGCCGCCUCAUGAUCCUUUCCCCCACCUCUCCUCCUCCUCCUCCUCUCAAGAGACAGUGGAUGAGAUCCUAGGGCCUCAGAAGCCUGUGACCAUAGAGCCUCAGCUCUGGCCGAACCUGCUAAGAGCAGUUGGUCUCAAUGAUGAGGUGCCCAUCACCAGGGGAUGGAGAGCCACAGGAGAAGUGGGGGACCAUGUCCUAGGGGCCGAUACCUGUGUCAGUGGAGGGACUAGUCACCCAUGUGGAAGGAUGGCUUCUUAGUGAUGUUAAACUAAGAUGGAUGACCAAGGAUUGAUACCUGUGUCAGUGGAGGGAAUAGCCGUCCACUUAGAAGGACAACUUUUUGAUCAUGUUAAACUAAGGUGGAGAACCAAGGAUGGUCCAGUUUAGGAGAACAUUGUCUAGGGGCUAAUCUUGUGUCAGUGGAAGGAGUAGCUGCCCAGAUGGAAGGAUGGCUUCUUAGUGACGUUAAACUAAGGUGGAUGACCAAGGAUGGUCCAGUUUAGGAGUUCAUUUCCUAAGGACUGAUACCUAUGUCGGUGGAGGGAGUAGCUGCCCAGAUGGAAGGAUGGCUUCUUAGUGACAUCAAACUAAGGUGGAUGACCAAGGAUGGUCCAGGGUAGGAGACCAUUGCCUAGGGGCUGAUCCUGUGUCAGUGGAGGGAGUAGCUGCCCAGAUGGAAGGAUGGCUUCUUGGUAAUGUUACACUAAGGUGGAUGACCAAGGAUGGGUCAGUUUGGGAGACCAUUUCCUAAGGGCUGAUACCCGAAUCAAUGGAGAGACUAGGCACCCACAUGGAAGGAAGGCUUCUUGAUCAUGUUAAACUAAAGUUGAUGACCAAAGAUUAUUCAGUUUCCCUUGAGACUCUCCCUUUAGAGAGCACAUUAAUAUCUCAAAAUUCCAAGUCUUCACAUGCCCUCUUCUGCUUUAUUUGUUCAUUUAACUGACAUACUAAAUAACCUGCUGUGUGCAAGACACUGGGGAAGGUAUUACAUAUUGCCUUUGAUCUGGAGGAGUUCACAAUCCAGUUGGGUGGGAGAAAAAGGGAUGGACUGGGACCCUCUGGUUUCAUUGGUAUAGGGAACGCCCAGUGAGGAAUCUCUUUUUUUCCAAAGAUUACCCAUCAGCGCCUGCUUUGCCACUUUGAGAGCUGCCUGGAGCUCCGAGGUCAGUGACUUGUAUCGGAUCGCACCAUCAGGAUGUGCCAGGCAAGACUUGAACCCCCCUCUUCUUGUCUCUUUCCAGCAGCUGCUUUGUUUGUAAUAUAAACUAUGUACACAGAUAAUUCCACAGUUAGCGGAGGCACACAGAGUACCAUGACACGUGAUGAUGGAAGGAUCCCUUCUGGAGGUGGUUGGGUGGGAACUGAUUGUAUUUGGUAGCGGGGUGAUGUGGUAGAUAGACCUCUGGAGUCUUCAGAUCCUGCCUCGAUGCUCCUAGGCAAGUCACUGAAGGUGUUUGUGCCAUAGUUUCCUCAUCUGUAAAGUCGGGAGAGUAAUAGCACGUGCCUCCCAGCAUGAUUGGGAGAAUGCAAUGAAAUACGUAUAAAUCCAUUGCAAUCCCAAAAGGGUUGUCUAGAUGCCGUCUGCUGCUCCUUGUCUGGAAACGGCAUCCAGAAGGAAGGGGAGAUGAGUCUGGGGGUCUUGUCCUUAACUCAGAGGAAGAACUGUCUCUCUUCCUUUCCAUUCACAUUCUUGAUGACAUGGGUGUUGUGCUUUAGGAUCAAAAAGCACUUGACCCACAUGGUUUCAUUUAUGCUACCCUGAGAGAUAGACAGGAUAGAGGAUUGUUAUUCUUAUCCUGCAAAUGAGAAAAUCAAGGCUCCCCAAAAAAAGAAUAAUUAGCUUACUGAAGUCACAUAGAUGGUAAAUGGCAGAAUUAGGACCUAGAUCUGGGUCUUCUGACUCUGAAUUCUGUUUUCUUUCUGCUGUUUCCUGAGGCUGCUCAUUCCCUUCUACCUCUUCCAGGACAUUUACUCAAUUCAUUAUUUCUUUCCUCCUCUCUUUACCCUUUCCCUUCCUUCUCUGCCUCUAUUUUCAGAUUGCAUCUAAAAAAACCUUUUCCUCCAACCCCCCCAGGCUCCUUUGCCAUUGUCCUAUCCUUUUGGUGCCAAGUUUUUGGAAAGAUCUCUUGGCUCUGGCUGGUCCACUUCACCACCCACUCACACCUUAAUUCCUUGUGAUCUAGAUUUUAGCCCUAGCACUCUUGUUUAGAAUGCUCUUUCAAAGGUCACAGUGACUGACCAAAUCCAGUGGCCUUUUUCAAGCCUUAUCCUUCUUAAGCUUUCCGUGACAUUUGAUGCUUUGCCAGCCCCUCCCUCCUGAAAUCCUCUCCUUUGGCUAACGUGGCACUAUCAUCUCCUGGCUCUCCUCCUACCUCUCUGAGCCCAAAUACUCUGCCCUCUCCAACCCUCUUAAUUUAGGUAUUACUUCCUAAAGUUCUCUCUUUAUCACUACACGCUCCUCCUCAGACUGUUUGUCUCCCUUAGAUUCACUUCCAUAAAGAUAACUCUCAAGUCUUUAUCUCCAACUCCAGCAUGUUAUGGAUUUUCUUCCAAAUUCCAGCUAUCUUUGGGCACAUCCCUGCUGGAGAGGGAUAGCUUGAUAUAAUGGAUAGAGUCAUGAAGAUGUAGUCUUAGGUCCUUUUGGAUUGUUUGACCCUGGGAAAAAAAAUCAGUUUUCUUAAGCAGCUUGCUAAGACUAUCCAUAGCAGAGAAGGGACUGACCUAAAUUGUUGAGGAAGAUUCCUUAAACUAGUCUUGUUAAAAAAAAAAAUUAGGUAGCUGAUGGACUUCUCCUCUUGGAUGUCCCAUUGCUCUCUCAAAUUUAACACAGCUGAAAUUGAACCAGUCAUCUCUCCCUCAUCUUAUUUUUUUUUUAAUUAAAGUUUUUUAUUGACAAAACAUAUACAUGGGUGAUUUUUCAAUAUUGACCUUUGAAAAACUUUCUGUUCCAAAUUUUUCUCCUCCUUCUUCACACCCCCUCUCCUAGAUGGCAAGUAUCUCCCUAGUCUUACAUCAAAAUUUAUUAUUCCUGCUAAUGGUGCCAUCGAUGUCCUGGUUACCUAGGCUUGAAAUCUUGUCCUUCCCAAGCUUUUUCACCUUUACAAGUCCUGUCUAGUCUUCCUUAGUAAUUUCUCUUUUCCAUCCCCAACUUGUAUUAUCUGAGUUGAUAAUUUUAGCACUGAGUCCAGUUCAGCCUCCUCUUAUUUUACAGAUGGGGGAAGUGAGGUCCAGAGAGCAACAUACAGGUAGUAAGUAUGGAGAAAUUAGGUAGAAGAUGUGUCUCUGAACUGCUCGAACAUAUAGAAUAGUUCCCAGUUACUUGCAAGAUCAAGCCUAAGGCAUUCUAAUUUCUCUAUGAUUCCAAAUCUCUUUCCAAUCUUGUUUCUUACUGGUUAUAUACCCACCAGCAUAGUCCUCUACAGGAUAUAGGACUCUUGUCAACUUUAGCCUUAUUUUGGACUCACCUUCUCAGAUAAUACGAAACCUAAGAUUCUAUAGAGAAAAAAAAAGGAGGAAAGAGCAAUUGGGGUUAAGUGAAUUUCUUAGGAUCAUGCAGCUAGUAUCUGAGGCUGGGUUAGAACUUGACUCCUGAUUCCAGCACUGGUACUCUAAGCCCUAUAGAAAAUUUUGCCAAAAGAAAAUAAUUGUUGGCACUUGAGUUUUAAGAACAGUUUGUAUACGUUGUCUCAUUUGAUCCUCUUCAUGCCACAGUGACAUCCAUUUUAUAAAUGAGGAAAUUGAGAUCGUAGGUAACUUGUCCAUAGUUAAGUGUACAGACCUAGGACUCUUGACUAAUUAGUCUAAUACUGUCCACUAGACCACACUGCCUCUCACUGUCAUAUUGCCUGGUUGCAUCUAGUAGAACUCUGCGGGCCUGCAAGCAGACAGGGGAGAUGGGCUUGUGUAAGGUUCUCAGUCCUGCAGAUGAGAAAAAAGAUUCUGUGAGGGGUCCCCCAACCAACCUGUCCCAUCCGUCUUUGUCACCAGGUUAAGUGGAAAGAGCAUUAGAGAGAAGACCAGCUUUUUGGUCCUGAUUCCAAUACUGACUGCCUCAGUUUCCUCACUUGUAAAUUGGACUGAAGCCUCUCAGUGCUACUUACUCACAGGGCUCUUGUAAGGAAACCUCUGUAAACCCCUAAGGCAUUUCAUACAUAUAUAUGUGGUGUGUGUAUGCGUGUGUGUGUGUGUGUGUGUGUGAAGGGUGGUUGGAGCAGCAUUUAAGCACGAGGCAGUGACUGGGGCACUCACAAAGGCAGGACACAGAGGAUUAGGGAGAGUUCAUCAGUUCUCUGUAAGUCCCAAUGAGAGCCCAAUUAAUUUUCCUCAAAAAUCUCUCCUCCCAAAGUGUUGGUACGGACUGUCUGGUUCCUGAAGCCCUGGGGAUGGAAGGAGUCCAGAGCCCUUCCCUGUCAUUUCUGGGGCUUUCAGGAAUUGACAAACAGCCGUUGGUAAUUGUGGGAAGGGAGGGAGGUGCGCUGAUGGGGGACACUGGCUUCUUUCUUUCAUCCCCCCUGGAAGAUUACUCGCUGUACAUGAGCCCUGCGAGGAAGCUUUCAGCCUCUUGUCCUGUACUCCAUCGACAUGAAAAUUAGCUUCUCUGGGGUCAUAUGGAGGAAAGGCCUGGACCUUGAGUCUCAGGGUCAGAAAGCACAAGAGCCCAGUAUCUACCUCAGAGAAGAAAACGCCAGUUCUUGAGGUUUAGACAUGAAACCUGCCAAAUAGUAUUUUUUCCCUAGAUCUUCACAUUCCCUCCCCCAAAUGUCAGGAGUAUUUCUUGGGUUAGAAAUCCUCUGGGGAAUUUUCCUGUAGCCCUAUUGGCCAGUCCUUGAGCAGGGGGCACCUUGCAGACCUCCAUCUUGGGCAGUGGGCUUUCGUAGGAAUCACUCGUGUCACCUUCAGGGAACAAACCAGCAUCUUGGGGAGGCUCAUCAGAGUCCCUGCGUUUAUUUUGUGUUUGGUUGAGAUGUCAGAGCUUGAGUCCUUGGUCUCUGUUGGACCAGGACUGAGUUCAUGGUCAGUUUCUUGGGAAACUAGCCUUGAGCCCCCAUUUUCCUUCUUUAUUCAAAUUUGGAGCAAGAUUCCACUCAGUCAUUCCUCUAUUUCUUUCAUGAUGUAAAGGGUUCUCAAUACACUGUCUUUUUUGUGUAUUGUCGAUAAAUAUUAGCUACCUACUUUGUGCAAGGGCAAGGUGCUGGAAUUACAGGAUUCUAGAUCUUUCAAGAGCUGGCUGUUCUGGACAAAAUUUUAUUUUUAUUUCCCUUUAUCCAUCAAUCUAGUUAUCCCAGAAAUGGGAGAGGAUGGGCUGCCUACUGCCCCUGAAUCCUGGCCAAACCAUUACCCAGACAGCUGGGGCCUUCCAUUUCUCUCCAUUGCUUCCCAGAGUUAUCAGAUGAGGGUAGUUCAUUUGUGGCAUGAACAGGCAUCUUCUGCUUGGGGACUCAGGAAGAGAGCCAGAUUAGGUUUUAUUUAGCUUGUUAGAAUCUUCUUUCACUAUCCCCCUUCUACACACAUACCAUGCCCUGUGAGUGAAAAUUAGAACCAGAUUUCUUAUCUUCUUGUCCCAUGGAUCAUCCUGAAGGAUCUAUGCAAAAUUUCAUCUAGAAUUUGGAGAGGAAGAAGAGAAUGUGCAGAAUUGUGAAAUUUGGCUAAAAUGACAUUCACUACAAAAAGUUAGGAAAAUGCAGUAUAAUUUUAAUAAGCUAUGCACAAGGCAUCAAGGGUACAAAGUCAAGAAUAAAUGAUCCCUGUCCUCAAGAAGUUCAUAAGUAUAGUCGAUCAUAUUCUAGAUACUCUCCUAUUUCUUCACUGUCUCCAUGGCAUUGUUAAAAAAUAUAUAUAAGGGGAGUAAUCAGGAAACCUUUGCUUUGCUGUAUCAGGACAAUCUUUUGCAGAACUGGAUUGCUUUCUGGUCUUCGCUAAGGAUUCCCCAGCUCAUUCUCUUUCUACAAAAAUGUUUAUGAGGAGUGUUUUUAAUUCUAAGACUGGUCUGUGUAGCAUCAUAUGAGCAUCUUUGCAUUUCAGAAAGCACUACAAUCCAACAGACCAGUUACUACAAGGAGACAGAAAUGUCUCCCUUUGAGGCCCCUGUGCUUCAGAUGGCCAAUCAGGAACCAAACAGAGUAGCUAAGAAUUAUGUGUCCAGGCCCAUUGCUCUGCCUUUAGCUAUUGGUCCUCAGAUGGGUUGUGAACGGUCAGUCCAGGGCUCAGCCACAUAAACCUAAGCUGCUUUUCUCCUUUUCUUUCCUUGCAGGGAUGCAGGAUUCUCUCCUCUCAGAGGGCUCAUCAGAAUGCCCAUGAUGGAUGCUGAGCCACAGAAACAUUGUUGGAGAACCUAGAACCUCCCUGGUAAGGGGAAGCCACCUAUGAGGGACUGGGUUGGUCUCGCAUGAUUCUAGCAGCAGCACCAGAACAACAACAACAAUAACUAGCAUUUGCACAGUGCUUUAAGGUUUACAGUGCAUUUUAGCCACAUUAUCUCAUUUGAUUUCAUUAGAGGUGGGCCUUCUGUGGUUUUUGGCUGUCUGUGGUCCAUGUGCUUGCCAGCUUCUUUAAGGCCAUCAAAAAUAAACCUUCACUUUUUAUCAUCCCUGGUGUGGGCUAGGUUUGCUAUUGUACCGUUACAGGGUUCAGUACAUGGAAAAGUUCUUGACCCCUGAUCCCUUUGGCUUUCAGAAGCUUUUCACUUUUCUUGCUUUAGAGUAAACUAGAUGCACAUCACCCAGCCUGGGGGAGAGGGGGCAGGAGAGUGUUGUCCACCAUGGUCUUUAAGAUCCUGUUUAUCCUUAUUGUCUUAGGCUGUGAUAGAGUUUGUUAAUCCAAGCUAAUUGGUCUUACAAGCUUCUUGCCAAGUUCUCGUAUCAUGCUGUAGUCUUGCUGGGAACUGUGAUCUGAUGUGUCUGUAUCUAAUGGGGCUGUCUCUUUCUCCCUCCCAAAGGGAAUCCUGUGGACCCUCAUAGAUGGUAUUAUCAGGGAGCCAGUACCUGAGAAGGAAUGGCAGCCUUUAUUUUGGUUGGAUGUGUGUGGUGGGGACCUCAUGUCUUAUGACAGAUGCUGAUGUAGUAAGGGAAUCAGUGGUUCCCUUUGGGAGGGAAUGGGAUUUUUUCUUUUGGCUCAAACAGGAGAGAAAAUACCCCACAGGUACCUUGUGACUUUGACUGUGAUUGGUGUUCAUCUACAAAGCCAGUUAAGAUAGCAUGUCUCUGAGGCUCUGAUCUUGGGGGCCCAGGAUGUUGUGGGGCUCAGAAGACAGCUGGAGAGAGGGCUUGAGUGGCCAGGAUGGGAACAAAGGCCUGGCUGUGCUUCUUGGGGAUCCCAGCUUCUCCCACUUUGACCCACUGGGUCCCCUUGCUCUCCUCCUCCCCCCCCUUUUUUUCAUUUCUAUGUCUACCCCUCUUAGGAUCAGCAUGGAAGGGUCUGAGCACAGAAGCCUCUGAAUUGGAGAUCAGAGUAGCCUUCGAUAAAAGCCCUGGUCUUCCUCCGCUUGUUUUUGAAUUUCUGAAACUAGUUUUUCCAGAAGAGAGCAGAAGGACAGCAGCACACGGUUCCAAGGGAGUUGGAUGCUUGGACGAGCAUGUCCUGCUCUGGGUUUAGAUGGGGUGGGCCUUCUGUUGUCCCCUUUUAUUAAUCUCCUGCCCAACUGUCCCCAUCCUCAUCCUCCAGCUGAGCUGCUUGGCCCAAGGACUCGUAUGUCUGUGAUAGAGGGAACUUUCCUAAUGUGGCGUGAGCUGUCUGGUGGGUCAUUGGGCUGCUUAUUAGGAAACUAGCCCUGGGGCCUUCACCCCUUGCAUUCCUCCCAGAUGAGUGAAGUCUGGUUCCGUUUUCCCCUCCUUCCCCAUCCUGACCAGUUAGCUCAUUUAGUGGGAAAUUCCCCAGUGGCUUUCAGUGAGAGAUAUUCCAGUAAAGGGGGGGGGGGGACAGUAUGGGACACUAGGAAAAAGUCACUGAUGGUGAGAAAUGAAAAUGAGGGAAGAGCGAGAGAGAGCAAGUUUUAAAAAUUUUAAAGGAAAAAUUAAAAAAUCAUCCUUAUUUUGGUCAGAUGCCUCCCACCCUGAUGUAUCUGAUUUUGAGAAAGAUCCUGCUCAGGCCCAGUAUCUCAUCUGUAAAAUGAGAGGGUUGGACUAGCUGGAGUCCCUUCCCUCUAGAUCUGUGGCCCCCCAACACCAUAAUGAAUAAUUGCCCUCCUUUCUCUCCCCUGCUUUUGUGGACGAGGUCAGGAAGGCUGUUGAGGUGGCUAGUGGGAUUGACCGAAGGGGGUCUGAAGGAGGGAAAAGACCCCGCUGCAAUCUCUUCCUGUCAUGUCCGGGAAUAGGCAGGGUGGGGAGAUGUAGGAGGCGUUGCUGGGUGUGUCGGUUUGUAACUAUGGCUAUAAUGGGAAGAGGGUGAUUGGAGGAAGGUAACUGGAGGACUCUGAAUUCUCCUGAGUGACUGAAAACCACCCCACCCCAUCCCUUUUCCCCAAAGUCAGGACUUCAGGCUAGUUUUAACAGCUCAGUGACCCCCAGAUAAAGUCCACUUGGGGAGAUGGGCACGAAGGGAUGCAGUGCUAGGGGCACAGCAUCCUCCAGUGAUGCUUUUGGCUGGUUCUCUGCCUUCAAAGAGAAUGACCUUUUGUAGGGCUGCAGCCUAGCUGAGGGUCUGGGGUCUGUAGAUUAAGUUCUGGGAAUGAGUGACCAGGCCCUGGGUUUCUGUCCCUAAAUUGUUGGGUUACUGACUGAGUCACCCUGACUUUCAAGACCCUGGCUGCCCUCUUUGAAAAAAAAAAAUUGAACCCUGGCCAGCAUGCUGAUUACAAAACGUUUCCGAGCAGUAACAAUAAUAGCAACAAUAAUAAAAAUAAUGACAAUUGGCAGAGCUGGAGGUGGAGUUUUAGUGACAGUUGAGAAAGCAGCUCUUUUAAGCACUGGCCACGUCACCAGGAAAUAAAUCUCUGUCCCACUAAUAAAUCACUGUAAUGUACUUGGCCAAUAGGACCUGUUUUAAUUAGCCACACCAAAUCCGUCUACGUCAAGAAAAUAAUCAUGCCUUGUAUUUUGAUAGUGCUUUUGGAUAACGUGAAACGAGAGUCAGAGGACCGAGUCCUUGAUCCGAUGGCUCCCCCCCCCCCCCCCCCCCGAGCACUCCCCGGCUUCUGUUGGCAGAUCUGGCCCAACUUUGCCUCUGCUCUGGAACAUUUUACUCUCUGUAGCCCAUCGGAAACCUUAGUUUUUGUGGGAUCUGAACCCUGUGUGGGGCUUUGAGACCCUCUCAGGAGGAUGAUUAGGAAUAAAUUUUAGAAGCCCUGCUUUCUAUAUUCAUUCUUUUUAUUCUUUUCUUUAUCCCUCCUUCCUCCUCUACCCCUCCCUCCCUCCUUCUUUACCUAACACACAUACAGACUUGGCAGAUAGGAGUUCCUCCUAGAUCUAGGUGGUUGUGACUUUCUGGAAUGAAAUUGUUUCUGUGAAUAACUCGGCCUUAGCCAGCAACACGCAAACGUGGAAGCCGACCAGGCCCCAGAAGAUGUCUCCAGUGGGGCCUGCCCUUGGCUAGGUAGGAGUCGGGAAAGUGAGCUUUUUUCAGCUAUCUAGGUUAUGGGCAGCUGGCUGUUCCUGAGGGCAGGACCUUAGCCCUGGCGAUGUGGGGAGGGGGUGCCGUUGUCUCUGGUACCCCCCAGAGCUUCCUCUAAUCCUGCCCCUGUCACCCCACUUUGUCCUCAUCUCCCUCCACACCCCACCUCCAAACUGAUGACUCCCUCUUCCCCCACCUUUGCUAUGGGAUCCCAGAGUCUGGGGCUUCCUUGCAUCGCAGCAUUAUUGGGAAACACUGAUAAGAGCCUCAUUAACUAGGAACGGCCCCAAAAAGUCUGGCUCUUUCUUUUUGCCCUUUUCACCCUGAAAACCCAGAGCCUUGGAGAUGUAGUUUGGAUUUUCUCUGGGGUCUGGCCGAGGCCUUACAGAUCCACAAGUUGCUAGUUAGUUGAGGGAUGGAGGGAGGAAGAUGGGGUCCAAGUCUGAGGUUUGGCUUGGAGGAGGAGGGAACGUCCGGUCUAGUGGGGACUUCAUUGAUCAGCCCCAUCUUGGUUAAUCACGGUUCUGGGGAACCUCAGGCUGCAAGAGGCCAGGGCAGAGGUCACUAUGACGAGCAGAGCCUGGGUCCAGCGGCAACGGUGGGGCAACUCUGUCCGGGUGACCCCUUCCUCCCUCCUCCUGGGAUUCUGAAACAGUCAGCGGCCACUUCUAGCCAUUCGCAUGCUGGUGACUGUGAGGUCCUCCAUUAUACUUUCCUUUUCUUGGGCUUUGGGAAUCUGCGGCUAAUGAAGUUUGGGCUUAGUUGGGUUUCCUCCUGGCAGAGUUGUGCAUCCUGUGCAGAUAACAUGGGGGGGGGGGGAACAAAGCAAACGUAGUAAGGAGGUAGAGGAGGUGAAUCUGGGAUGUCAGCCACCCUGAGACAGUAGAGAGGAGGGGGUUCAGGGUGCUGAUAGUGUGGUUACCAUUGAGAGAGACAGAGGGGAGAGAGAGAG
rnacentral:lncRNA from 1 species